UGGGGAAUUUUGGACAAUGGGCGAAAGCCUGAUCCAGCAAUGCCGCGUGUGUGAAGAAGGCCUUCGGGUUGUAAAGCACUUUUGUCCGGAAAGAAAUCCUCUGGGUUAAUACCUCGGGGGGAUGACGGUACCGGAAGAAUAAGCACCGGCUAACUACGUGCCAGCAGCCGCGGUAAUACGUAGGGUGCAAGCGUUAAUCGGAAUUACUGGGCGUAAAGCGUGCGCAGGCGGUUUUGUAAGACGGAUGUGAAAUCCCCGGGCUUAACCUGGGAACUGCAUUCGUGACUGCAAGGCUAGAGUAUGGCAGAGGGGGGUAGAAUUCCACGUGUAGCAGUGAAAUGCGUAGAGAUGUGGAGGAAUACCGAUGGCGAGGCGAGCCCCUGGCAAUACUGACGCUCAUGCGCGAAAGCGUGGGGGAGCAAACAGGAUUAGAUACCCUGGUAGUCCACGCCCUAAACGAUGUCAACUAGUUGUUGGGGGAUUCAUUUCCUUAGUAACGUAGCUAACGCGUGAAGUUGACCGCCUGGGGGAGUACGGUCGCAAGAUUAAAACUCAAAGGAAUUGAC
rnacentral:rRNA from 1 species